rnacentral:rRNA from 1 species
UACGAGAGGCCCAAACGUUAUUCGGAAUUACUGGGCUUAAAGAGUUCGUAGGCGGCGCGGAAAGUGGGGUGUGAAAGCCCUCGGCUCAACCGAGGAAUUGCGCUCCAAACUACCGUGCUUGAGGAAGCUAGAGGUGAGCAGAACUGAUGGUGGAGCGGUGAAAUGCGUUGAUAUCAUCAGGAACACCGGAGGCGAAGGCGGCUCACUGGGGGUCUUCUGACGCUGAGGAACGGAAAGCCAGGGGAGCGAACGGG